UAUAAAGUUUAGUUCUUUGUGUUUUCCUACUGGAGCUUUUACCUCAUGGCCACAGAAGUAAGAGUUAAACAUGAAACUAAUAUAUCAACUGCAUUUUAAACAUCUCAGACAUCUAUAAAAACUAAAGUGUUCCUUUUCUGUGAAUUAGGUAUUGUUCAUUAUAAUGAGUUCCUUUUUUUUAAAUGAAGGACAGGCACUUUUCUUGAGGUAGGAACAGCCUCUUUUACAGGCACUAUAUAUUCAGAUAUAUAGGCCUGGCUUGCAGGGAGGCUAUAAAAAUAACAUGAAUGCCACGAAUGGUAAAAUGUGGACCUUGAUUUUAUGAAACAGGAUAAAAUGAGGGCUUUGAAAAUGUAUUUCCAUGCUCCACAAAUUAUGAGGAGUGCUGCCAGAGGAAGGGACUGAGAUUGCUCCCAGGGGUAGUGUAUGUAUGUAUUUUUCCUUUUCUUCAAGCAAAUGUGUGCCUCAGGCCAUACAAGUAAUAGACCUCAAAAUGUUAAAAUCUAGUUAGAAUAGGAGAGGGAGAGAGAGAACGUAUUUGUUGUGGGAAUUGAAUCCAGGACCUCCCUAUUCCCUAUGCUAGGCACACUACCACUGAGCCAUAUAUUCAGCCCAUCGUUAAGUAGGCAAAAUACCCAGAUUCAAGUAUUUAACCUUACCUUUCAAAUUUCUACAGCAACAUAAAAAGCAAUUUGUGCAGUUUGCUGAUGGGGUGGAGAAAAUAAGGUUGAACUAAGUGGAAACAUUUUAGAUACUUAAACUUUGCCUAGUCCUGCAUGACUUCUGAAUUUUAAGGAAAGUGGAGAUAAGUCCUUUUGCUCAACUUCUUCCCACAGGCCUUUCCAGAUCCUCACUGGCUGAAAACUUCCCCUGUCCUCCCCUCCUUUUUUUGGAGACAGGAUUUCAUUAUGUAGUCAAGGCUGGCCUUGAACUUACUAUGUACUGUGUAGACCAGGCUGGCCUCGAACUCAAGAUCCUCCUGCCUCCCAAGUGCUAAGGGAAUACAGAGCAUGUGUCUGUUUAGACAAGCCACCUUCAAGUGCUCAACAGCCACAAUGAGGCUAGCGGCUACAGUACUGAACUAUAAUAGCACGUCAGGGCAGGGCACAAACUUCUUAGGACUUCACUUUUCUGUAAGGCAUCUUAAUAGUUUGGGUUCAAUAUCAUUUUCAUUUUAGAUUGUUAUAAUCCACAUAAAAGCUACUUGGUUCAGCUAUUUUCUGUCCUGUUAAUAAAGUUUAUUUUUUAAACUAAGUGUUGUAUGAGGCACUUUACACUCAAUUUAAUCUUCCCCCAAACUUAUCAGGAAGGUAACUGUUUUAGAAGUGAG
rnacentral:lncRNA from 1 species